UUAGCGCUGCUGGGUUGGUCAUGCAUUUUUGCUCCAGGGCCAAUAAUUUUUGCAUGGGGACUGCCGCUUUAAAGCUCUUGGGUUUUUUAUGUGGUUCCCACCUGGACUGUUAGGCCUAGGAAAUAACCGAGCAGACGGCUUAAGCGGCGCUUGU
rnacentral:other from 2 species